rnacentral:rRNA from 1 species
GUCUCUUUGUAGUUUAUAAAUAAAGAGUCGGGCCUGCUCGGUGAAUAAAAUUGUUUUAACAGCUGCGGUAUUUUAACUGUACUAAGGUAGCAUAAUAAUUUGCCUUAUAAUUUGAGGCUAGAAUGAAUGGUUUGACGAAGGUUAAUCUGUCUCUAUUUUAUUUAUUAGAAUUUAAUUUUUAAAGUGAAAAAGCUUGAAUUUUUUAAAGGGACGAGAAGACCCUACUGAGCUUAUAAUUUUAUUAUUAUUUUGUUACUUGAUGUAUAAAGUAAUAUAUAAAUUUUAAUUGGGGUGAUUAAGGAAUAAAGAAUAUAAUUAAGUAACUUCCUUAGUUUAAAUAUUGUUAAAUAAAGUAACCAAUAUUAUUGCUUAUAGUAUAGUUACCAUAGGGAUAACAGCGUAAUUUAUUUAGAGAGUUCUUAUUGAAAAAUGAGAUUGCGACCUCGAUGUUGGAUUAAAGUAACCUUAAGGUGCAGAAGCUUUAAAAGGUAAAUCUGUUCGAUUUUUAAAACUUUACA